rnacentral:rRNA from 1 species
UACAGAGGUCUCAAGCGUUGUUCGGAUUCAUUGGGCGUAAAGCGCGUGUAGGCGGCCCCGGUAAGUCCGCUCUGAAAAGUCGGGGGGGCUCAACCCUCGGAUGCGGGGUGGAUACUGUCGGGCUUGAGUGCGGAAGAGGCGAGUGGAAUUCCUGGUGUAGCGGUGAAAUGCGCAGAUAUCAGGAGGAACACCAAUUGCGAAGGCAGCUCGCUGGGACGUUACUGACGCUGAGACGCGAAAGCGUGGGGAGCAAACAGG